rnacentral:tRNA from 1 species
CYUAGAUGGACCAUGACAAGUCCCAUAAACA